ACUCUUUGGCAUGCAGUCUUGCUCUGAUUAAUAGACGUUCUCUUCCCAACCUCGCAUAAGUAUUAACUUCCACAUCUACAUGAACAUGUUGUCCGUGUUGGCGUGUGCAUUCAGAUGGAGAAUAAAGGCCAAAGCUGGCUCAGUUCUUCAUUUCAAGUUAUUUUUUCCUAAUGGAGAGAUGAGAAAAAAAAGAGGGAGGGGGUGUUAACAGGAAUAAUUGAGAGGGAGGGAGCGAGUGGCUUGCAGGCCUCGAGGCCUUGUAUUUAGAGCUGAUUGGAGGAGACGGCUACUGGAACAUGCCUGCAGUGAGUUAUGGGCUAAAACAAUGUCCCCUUCGCCACUUCAUUGAGAGGGAAGAAGGGCUUUCAAGAUGCUGUAGAGCCCUUCUCCAACCUCCAGCCAAACACCACAUGGACUGAAACAGGGAGGCUGCUUUAAAGACAGAGAGAGAAAGCGUUGUUCCUCCACCAUUAGGUGGUUUCACAGUUUCUGUCUCCCAGAUGACCGUAAACAGCUUUUCUUCACCAGAAAGAAUGGGGAUA
ensembl:lncRNA